rnacentral:rRNA from 1 species
UAAUGCGUGACCGACCUGCCCCAUACACCGGAAUAGCUCCUGGAAACGGGUGGUAAUGCCGGAUGCUCCGACUCCUCGCAUGGGGUGUCGGGAAAGAUUAUAUCGGUAUGGGAUGGGGUCGCGUCCUAUCAGGUAGUCGGCGGGGUAACGGCCCACCGAGCCUACGACGGGUAGCCGGCCUGAGAGGGCGACCGGCCACA